rnacentral:rRNA from 1 species
AACGAACGCUGGCGGCAUGCCUAACACAUGCAAGUCGAACGAGACCUUCGGGUCUAGUGGCGCACGGGUGCGUAACGCGUGGGAACCUGCCCUUGGGUUCGGAAUAACUCCCCGAAAGGGGUGCUAAUACCGGAUAAUGUCUUCGGACCAAAGAUUUAUCGCCUUUGGAUGGGCCCGCGUUGGAUUAGCUAGUUGGUAGGGUAAAAGCCUACCAAGGCGACGAUCCAUAGCUGGUCUGAGAGGAUGAUCAGCCACACUGGGACUGAGACACGGCCCAGACUCCGACGGGAGGCAGCAGUGGGGAAUAUUGGACAAUGGGCGAAAGCCUGAUCCAGCAAUGCCGCGUGAGUGAUGAAGGCCUUAGGGUUGUAAAGCUCUUUUACCCGGGAUGAUAAUGACAGUACCGGGAGAAUAAGCUCCGGCUAACUCCGUG